UUCGUCCUUUAUUCCACAUGGUGUUGUUAUGUCUCUUUGGAUUUCGUUCUUGCGCCGGAUCCUGUUAAAUUCUACUUUGAAAUUGCAUUGUAAUCAGGAUUAUCUUGUCAUCCAGCACCUCGCCUGCAUUGCCUUGUGGUGCAUUCAGACUGACCAUGUGCUGUUCCUUGCCUGCCAUUUUGGCAGCAAUUCACUUGGCUAACGGGCGACAACGCUCCACUCGCUUCAUCGUGUUGUCAAAUAAGACGAGCUUCUAUCUGCUGCUUGCUGGUUUCAACACAACUUGGAGCGAGUCACGAUGCUUUAUUUAUGGAAAGCCAAACAAUGCUGCCGGCGUCGACGUCCCUGGGUUCACCAGAGUCUCAGGAGUACCAUCACCUACUCCAAGAGCUGCGUCUGGAUGACAGUCGCCAGUGGUACUUCAAUCUAUCCUGGACCAAAUUUGAGGACCUGCUGUCCCACGUUGGAGGACGAAUCAGCCUCCGGGACACCAACAACAGGCAUUUUAUCCUCACUGCAGAACGCCUGUCCAUUUCUCUUUGAGUAAAUAAAUCUCAGCUCAAUAGAAAAACA